rnacentral:lncRNA from 1 species
CUGGAGAUGGAGCUGGGGCGGGAGAGGCGGAGGCACUAUCUGCCUCUGCCAUUUGGAGUGGGAACAAAUAAGCAGCAGUGAUCAGAUUUCCUCCAGUUUUCCUGGAUCUAAGCUUUUUGACUCAUGUGCUUCAACUGUAUCUUUGGCAAGUGCUUGAAAAUUCAAUAUCUGAAUUGAGAAAAACAGUAACAGAACUGGAGAAAAAGCUUAGCAGUGUUGAAGAUGAAGGUAAUGAGUGGAAAACCAGAUACGAGAUGCAAGUAGAACUGAACAGCCAGCUGCAAAGACAAAUUCAUAUUCUUAAAGACAAGGUGGAGCUUAUUCGUGGAAAUCCAACAGGGUUCCUUGAAGGAGUUUCUUGAACAACUAAAAGAAGAGAAGAAAAGUCUCCAGAGUCAGCUAAAAGAUUAUGAACUUAGACUGGAACAGGAGGCAAAGGCUUACCACAAAGCUAAUGAUGAGCGGCGCAUGUACCUUGCAGAGAUUUUGCAGGUAAGAAAAAGACCUGUGUGACUCGAUGGGAGCUGGAGCAUCUCUUGUGAGGAAUGGCUGAGAGACCUGGGACUGCUCAGGCUGGGAAAGCAAAGACUGGAAGAGGUUCUUGUCAGUGCUUACAAACAUCUAAAGGACGGGAGUCAAGUGGAUGAGUUCUUCUCAGGCUCUUCUCAGCAGUGCCCAGUGACUGAAAAAGGGCAGUAGGCAAAAACUGGAACAUAGGAAGUUCCAUACAACAUGAGGAAAAAAAUCUUUACUUUGAGGGUGACAGAGCACUGGAACAGGCUGUUUUUGUAUCAAUUGGAAUUUAAUUGCUCACAAACAUAGUCAGUACCCUUAACUGAGAAAGCUGAAGCAGCUUUCUGAUUGCCCAUCCAGGAGUGACAAAGACUACUGUGCUGCAGUUCUGUGCUUCAGCUGAAAAGAGCAGAACCGAAUUAUUAGUGGCAUUGACACCUUAAGAAAAUUCCUCUUUUUCAUGUUUCCCCCUUUUUAUCUUUUAAAGACAAGGUAGCCAGUCAGCUCAGAUUGACAACACAAUUAAAUUUACAAGAUAUAAGGUACCUUGUUUUUAUGAACUCGGGGGUUAAAUUUUAUUACUGCAAAUUAUGUAACACAUAAAAGUUGAUAGUAUAAACUGCAG